AACGAACGCUGGCGGCAUGCCUAACACAUGCAAGUCGAACGCGCCUUCGGGCGAGUGGCGCACGGGUGAGUAACGCGUGGGAACCUGCCUAUUGGUACGGAAUAACCUCGGGAAACCGUGGCUAAUACCGUAUAAGCCCUUACGGGGAAAGAUUUAUCGCCAAUAGAUGAGCCCGCGUUGGAUUAGCUAGUUGGUGGGGUAAUGGCCCACCAAGGCGACGAUCCAUAGCUGGUCUGAGAGGAUGAUCAGCCACACUGGAACUGAGACACGGUCCAGACUCCUACGGGAGGCAGCAGUGGGGAAUAUUGGACAAUGGGCGAAAGCCUGAUCCAGCAAUGCCGCGUGAGUGAUGAAGGCCCUAGGGUUGUAAAGCUCUUUCAGCAGGGAAGAUAAUGACGGUACCUGCAGAAGAAGCCCCGGCUAACUCCG
rnacentral:rRNA from 1 species